GCUGGGCGCAGUGGCGUGUGCCUGUAGUCCCAUCUACUCGGGAGGCUGAGGUGGGAGGAUCACAUGAGCCCAGGAGUUCUGGGCUGUAGUGCGCUAUGCUGAUCGGGUGUCCACACUAAGUUCGGCAUCAAUAUGGUGACCUCCCGGGAGCGGGGGACCAUUAGGUUGCCUAAGGAGGGGUGAACCGGCCCAGGUCGGAAACAGGGCAGGUCAAAACUCCCAUGCUGAUCAGUAGUGGGAUUGCGCCUGUGAAUAGCCACUGUACUCCAGCCUGGGCAACAUAGCGAGACUCCAUCUCU
rnacentral:SRP_RNA from 1 species